AUUCAGUCGAUAUGCGGGGACGUGCGUGGUCGAUUACUUAAGCAGACGGCUCCCAAAUGCGGGUCGGUUCGACUGCACGUUCCCUGCCGUUCGACGCAUUUGAUUCCCGCCCGAAGGACGCCGCAACCGGUUGGGUAGUUGUGAACACGACGGCCUGUGGGGCGGAAGACGGCAGGUGGCCGGCGUCGGGGCCUCGGUCCCGUCCGCCGGUUGUUAGCCAUUCCGUCCGUGGCACGUCACCCGACCGUGGUGAAAAGGGCCUUUUUGGGCCCUACCGCCUCCUCCUCCGGACGGAGGUGACGGGCAUGGGCGCGGCAGAUGCAUUCAGACGGCGUUGACGCACGCACUCACGGCGUGGUCGUGUCCGUCUGCGUCUUUGCUGGCCGCGUGGGUCCCGUCGGAGUGUCGGCGGUUGGCGGCGAGUAGAUCGGUCACCCACCCGACCCGGUCUUGAAACACGGACCAAGGAGUCUAACAUGUGUGCGAGUCAAUGGGUCUCGAAUAAGCCCAGAGGCGCAAUGAAAGCAAAGGCCGACCUUGACGUCGGCCGUGUUGGGAUCCUCCCCCCAUCGCGGCGGGAGGCGCACCAACGACCCGUCCUCUCCGAUUUAUCGGUUGGGCGGAGUCUGAGCAUACACGUUGGGACCCGAAAGAUGGUGAACUAUGCCCGGGCAGGACGAGGUCAGAGGAAACUCUGAUGGAGGUCCGCAGCGGUUCUGACGUGCAAAU
rnacentral:rRNA from 1 species